UACGUAGGGGGCAAGCGUUGUCCGGAUUUAUUGGGCGUAAAGAGCGUGUAGGCGGCCAGAUAGGUCCGUUGUGAAAACUCGAGGCUCAACCUCGAGACGCCGAUGGAAACCAUUUGGCUAGAGUCCGGAAGAGGAGAGUGGAAUUCCUGGUGUAGCGGUGAAAUGCGCAGAUAUCAGGAAGAACACCUAUAGCGAAGGCAGCUUACUAGGCUGUAACUGACGCUGAGGCACGAAAGUGUGGGGAUCAAACAGG
rnacentral:rRNA from 1 species